CCAGAGCAACGGUCACAGAACCGUUAGGAGGUCUCACUCUGACGCCGUUUCGAGGCACUAGAGCAACGGUCACAGAACCGUUAGGAGGAGGUCUCACUCUGACGCCGUUUCACGGCACUAGAGCAACGGUCACAGAACCGUUGGGAGGAGGUCUCACUCUGACGCUGUUUCGCGGCACCAGAGCAAC